CCUACGGGAGGCAGCAGUGAGGAAUAUUGGUCAAUGGGCGGGAGCCUGAACCAGCCAAGUCGCGUGAGGGAAGACGGUCCUACGGAUUGUAAACCUCUUUUGCCGGGGAGCAACGGGGUCCUUGCGAGGGCCCAAUGAGAGUACCCGGAGAAAAAGCAUCGGCUAACUCCGUGCCAGCAGCCGCGGUAAUACGGGGGAUGCGAGCGUUAUCCGGAUUUAUUGGGUUUAAAGGGUGCGUAGGCGGGCUGUUAAGUCAGCGGUCAAAUGUCGGGGCUCAACCCCGGCCUGCCGUUGAAACUGGAGGACGCGAGUGGGCGAGAGGUAUGCGGAAUGAGUGGUGUAGCGGUGAAAUGCAUAGAUAUCACGCAGAACUCCGAUUGCGAAGGCAGCAUACCGGCGCCCUACUGACGCUGAGGCACGAGAGCGUGGGUAUCGAACAGGAUUAGAUACCCGUGUAGUC
rnacentral:rRNA from 1 species